AUACUUACCUGGACGGGAUCAAUGGAUGAUCAAGAAGGUCCAUGGUCUAGGACAGUGACUUUCAUUGCACUUCGAAGUAAUAUUGUUCUAAGGUCUACUCAAGUGGUAGAGUCUACAUCAUAAUUUGUUGCAAAGGGGACCUGCGUUCGCGCGGUCCUUGC